AUUGAACGCUGGCGGCAUGCCUUACACAUGCAAGUCGAACGGUAACGCGGGGCAACCUGGCGACGAGUGGCGAACGGGUGAGUAAUGCAUCGGAACGUGCCCAGUAGUGGGGGAUAGCCCGGCGAAAGCCGGAUUAAUACCGCAUACGACCUACGGGUGAAAGCGGGGGACCGUAAGGCCUCGCGCUAUUGGAGCGGCCGAUGUCAGAUUAGGUAGUUGGUGGGGUAAAGGCCUACCAAGCCUUCGAUCUGUAGCUGGUCUGAGAGGACGACCAGCCACACUGGGACUGAGACACGGCCCAGACUCCUACGGGAGGCAGCAGUGGGGAAUUUUGGACAAUGGGCGCAAGCCUGAUCCAGCCAUGCCGCGUGCGGGAAGAAGGCCUCGG
rnacentral:rRNA from 1 species